GAAGCGACGUCAAAGCGUUCAUUAAAGUCGAGUUGGCUUAGGGAUACGUUCGUUGGGUAGGGGAGCGUUCUGUAAGCCUGUGAAGGUGUGUCGUGAGGCAUGCUGGAGGUAUCAGAAGUGCGAAUGCUGACAUAAGUAACGAUAAAGCGGGUGAAAAGCCCGCUCGCCGGAAGACCAAGGGUUCCUGUCCAACGUUAAUCGGGGCAGGGUGAGUCGACCCCUAAGGCGAGGCCGAAAGGCGUAGUCGAUGGGAAACGGGUUAAUAUUCCCGUACUUGGUGUUACUGCGAAGGGGGGACGGAGAAGGCUAUGUUGGCCGGGCGACGGUUGUCCCGGUUUAAGCGUGUAGGUGUGUGUUCCAGGUAAAUCCGGUUCACUUUAACACUGAGGCGUGACGACGAGGCACUACGGUGCUGAAGCAACAAAUGCCCUGCUUCCAGGAAAAGCCUCUAAGCAUCAGGUAACAUCAAAUCGUACCCCAAACCGACACAGGUGGUCAGGUAGAGAAUACCAAGGCGCUUGAGAGAACUCGGGUGAAGGAACUAGGCAAAAUGGUGCCGUAACUUCGGGAGAAGGCACGCUGACACGUAGGUGAAGUGAUUUACUCAUGGAGCUGAAGUCAGUCGAAGAUACCAGCUGGCUGCAACUGUUUAUUAAAAACACAGCACUGUGCAAACACGAAAGUGGACGUAUACGGUGUGACGCCUGCCCGGUGCCGGAA
rnacentral:rRNA from 1 species